rnacentral:lncRNA from 1 species
CAGCCUCACCUGGACAGGGCAGGUGCCAAGACACAAUGUAGACACCAGCCUCACUUGGACAGGCAGGUGACCAAGACGAUGUAGACACAGCCUCACUUGGACAUGGCAGGUGACCAACAGACGAUGUAGACACAGCCUCACCUGGCAGGCAGGUGACCAAGACGAUGUAGACACAGCCUCACUUGGACAGGCAGGUGACCCAGACGAUGUAGGACACAGGCCUCACUGGACAGGCAGGUUGCCAAGACGAUGUAGACACCAGCCUCACCUGGCACGGCAGGUGACCAAGACAAUGUAGACACAACUCACUGGACAGGCAGGUGACCAGAUGAUGUAGACACAGCCCUCACCUGGACAGGCAGGUGACCAAGACGAUGUAAACACCGCCUCACCUGGACAGCAGGUGACCAAGACGAUGUAGACACAGCCUCACAUGGACAGGCAGGUGACCAAGACAUGUAGACACAGCCCUCACUUGGACAGGCAGGGUGACCAAGACGAUGUAAGACACAGCUUCACUGGACAGGAGGUGACAAGACAAUGUAGACACAGCCUCACUUGAUGCAGGUGACGAAGACGAUGUAGACACAGCCUCACUUGGACAGGCAGCGUGACACCAAGACGAUGUAGACACAGCCUCACCUGGGACAGGGCAGGGUACCAAGACGAUGUAGACACAGCCUCACUUGGACAGGCAGGUGACCAAAGACGAUGUAAGACACAGUCUCACCUGGACAGGCAGGUGACCCAAGACGAUGUAGACACAGCCUCACCUGGACAGGCAGGUGACCAAGACGAUGUAGACACAGCCUCACCUGGACAGGCAUGUGACCAAGACGAUGUAGACACAACCUCACCUGGACAGGCGGUGACCAAGACGAUGUAAACACAGCCUCACCUGGACAGGCAGGUGACCAAGACGAUGUAGACACAGCCUCACUGGACAGGCAGGUGACCAACAGACGAUGUAGAUGUAGACACUCGUCUCACCUGGACAGGCAGGUGACCAAGACGAUGUAGACACAGCCUCACCUGGACAGGCAGGUGACCAAGACGAUGUAGACACAGCCUCACUGGACAGGCAGGUGAC